rnacentral:rRNA from 1 species
UACGGAGAGUGCGACCGUUGUUCGGAUUCACUGGGCGUAAAGGGCACGUAGGCGGCUCGGCAAAUCGGUCGUGGAAUCCCGACGCUUACCGUCGGAACGGCGGCCGAAAAUACCGGGCUCGAGGGCGUGAGGGGUCACUGGAACUCCUGGUGAAGCGGUGAAAUGCGUAGAUAUCAGGAGGAACGCCGGAGGCGAAAGCGAGUGACUGGCGCGUUCCUGACGCUGAGGUGCGAAAGCUAGGGGAGCAAACAGG